rnacentral:rRNA from 1 species
ACGUGGUAUCCUGUCUGAAUAUGGGGGGCCCAUCCUCCAAGGCUAAAUACUCCUGACUGACCGAUAGUGAACCAGUACCGUGAGGGAAAGGCGAAAAGAACCCCGGCGAGGGGAGUGAAAAAGAACCUGAAACCGUGUACGUACAAGCAGUGGGAGCACGCUUAGGCGUGUGACUGCGUACCUUUUGUAUAAUGGGUCAGCGACUUAUAUUCUGUAGCAAGGUUAACCGAAUAGGGGAGCCGAAGGGAAACCGAGUCUUAACUGGGCGUUAAGUUGCAGGGUAUAGACCCGAAACCCGGUGAUCUAGCCAUGGGCAGGUUGAAGGUUGGGUAACACUAACUGGAGGACCGAACCGACUAAUGUUGAAAAAUUAGCGGAUGACUUGUGGCUGGGGGUGAAAGGCCAAUCAAACCGGGAGAUAGCUGGUUCUCCCCGAAAGCUAUUUAGGUAGCGCCUCGUGAAUUCAUCUCCGGGGGUAGAGCACUGUUUCGGCAAGGGGGUCAUCCCGACUUACCAACCCGAUGCAAACUGCGAAUACCGGAGAAUGUUAUCACGGGAGACACACGGCGGGUGCUAACGUCCGUCGUGAAGAGGGAAACAACCCAGACCGCCAGCUAAGGUCCCAAAGUCAUGGUUAAGUGGGAAACGAUGUGGGAAGGCCCAGACAGCCAGGAUGUUGGCUUAGAAGCAGCCAUCAUUUAAAGAAAGCGUAAUAGCUCACUGGUCGAGUCGGCCUGCGCGGAAGAUGUAACGGGGCUAAACCAUGCACCGAAGCUGCGGCAGCGACGCUUAUGCGUUGUUGGGUAGGGGAGCGUUCUGUAAGCCUGCGAAGGUGUGCUGUGAGGCAUGCUGGAGGUAUCAGAAGUGCGAAUGCUGACAUAAGUAACGAUAAAGCGGGUGAAAAGCCCGCUCGCCGGAAGACCAAGGGUUCCUGUCCAACGUUAAUCGGGGCAGGGUGAGUCGACCCCUAAGGCGAGGCCGAAAGGCGUAGUCGAUGGGAAACAGGUUAAUAUUCCUGUACUUGGUGUUACUGCGAAGGGGGGACGGAGAAGGCUAUGUUGGCCGGGCGACGGUUGUCCCGGUUUAAGCGUGUAGGCUGGUUUUCCAGGCAAAUCCGGAAAAUCAAGGCUGAGGCGUGAUGACGAGGCACUACGGUGCUGAAGCAACAAAUGCCCUGCUUCCAGGAAAAGCCUCUAAGCAUCAGGUAACAUCAAAUCGUACCCCAAACCGACACAGGUGGUCAGGUAGAGAAUACCAAGGCGCUUGAGAGAACUCGGGUGAAGGAACUAGGCAAAAUGGUGCCGUAACUUCGGGAGAAGGCACGCUGAUAUGUAGGUGAAGUCCCUUGCGGAUGGAGCUGAAAUCAGUCGAAGAUACCAGCUGGCUGCAACUGUUUAUUAAAAACACAGCACUGUGCAAACACGAAAGUGGACGUAUACGGUGUGACGCCUGCCCGGUGCCGGAAGGUUAAUUGAUGGGGUCAGCGCAAGCGAAGCUCUUGAUCGAAGCCCCGGUAAACGGCGGCCGUAACUAUAACGGUCCUAAGGUAGCGAAAUUCCUUGUCGGGUAAGUUCCGACCUGCACGAAUGGCGUAAUGAUGGCCAGGCUGUCUCCACCCGAGACUCAGUGAAAUUGAACUCGCUGUGAAGAUGCAGUGUACCCGCGGCAAGACGGAAAGACCCCGUGAACCUUUACUAUAGCUUGACACUGAACAUUGAGCCUUGAUGUGUAGGAUAGGUGGGAGGCUUUGAAGUGUGGACGCCAGUCUGCAUGGAGCCGGCCUUGAAAUACCACCCUUUAAUGUUUGAUGUUCUAACGUGGACCCGUGAUCCGGGUUGCGGACAGUGUCUGGUGGGUAGUUUGACUGGGGCGGUCUCCUCCUAAAGAGUAACGGAGGAGCACGAAGGUUGGCUAAUCCUGGUCGGACAUCAGGAGGUUAGUGCAAUGGCAUAAGCCAGCUUGACUGCGAGCGUGACGGCGCGAGCAGGUGCGAAAGCAGGUCAUAGUGAUCCGGUGGUUCUGAAUGGAAGGGCCAUCGCUCAACGGAUAAAAGGUACUCCGGGGAUAACAGGCUGAUACCGCCCAAGAGUUCAUAUCGACGGCGGUGUUUGGCACCUCGAUGUCGGCUCAUCACAUCCUGGGGCUGAAGUAGGUCCCAAGGGUAUGGCUGUUCGCCAUUUAAAGUGGUACGCGAGCUGGGUUUAGAACGUCGUGAGACAGUUCGGUCCCUAUCUGCCGUGGGCGCUGGAGAACUGAGGGGGGCUGCUCCUAGUACGAGAGGACCGGAGUGGACGCAUCACUGGUGUUCGGGUUGUCAUGCCAAUGGCACUGCCCGGUAGCUAAAUGCGGAAGAGAUAAGUGCUGAAAGCAUCUAAGCACGAAACUUGCCCCGAGAUGAGUUCUCCCUGACCCUUUAAGGGUCCUGAAGGAACGUUGAAGACGACGACGUUGAUAGGCCGGGUGUGUAAGCGCAGCGAUGCGUUGAGCUAACCGGUACUAAUGAACCGUGAGG